UCCUUAUUUUGCAUACUCUCUCACCGGUCAGACGGACGAGAGAGCAUGUAAAAUGAGGAGA
rfam:Pristionchus pacificus strain PS312 contig9236, whole genome shotgun sequence.